rnacentral:rRNA from 1 species
AUUGAACGCUGGCGGCAGGCCUAACACAUGCAAGUCGAACGGUAACAGGAAGACGCUUGCUUCUUUGCUGACGAGUGGCGGACGGGUGAGUAAUGUCUGGGAAACUGCCUGAUGGAGGGGGAUAACUACUGGAAACGGUAGCUAAUACCGCAUAACGUCGCAAGACCAAAGAGGGGGACCUUCGGGCCUCUUGCCAUCGGAUGUGCCCAGAUGGGAUUAGCUAGUAGGUGGGGUAACGGCUCACCUAGGCGACGAUCCCUAGCUGGUCUGAGAGGAUGACCAGCCACACUGGAACUGUGACACGGUCCAGACUCCUACGGGAGGCAGCAGUGGGGAAUAUUGCACAAUGGGCGCAAGCCUGAUGCAGCCAUGCCGCGUGUAUGAAGAAGGCCUUCGGGUUGUAAAGUACUUUCAGCGGGGAGGAAGGGAGUAAAGUUAAUACCUUUGCUCAUUGACGUUACCCGCAGAAGAAGCACCGGCUAACUCCGUG